AUUGAACGCUGGCGGCAUGCUUUACACAUGCAAGUCGAACGGUAACAGGCCGCAAGGUGCUGACGAGUGGCGAACGGGUGAGUAAUGCAUCGGAACGUGCCCAGUCGUGGGGGAUAACGCAGCGAAAGCUGUGCUAAUACCGCAUACGAGCUAUGGAUGAAAGCGGGGGACCGGAAGGCCUCGGGCGAUUGGAGCGGGCGAUGUCAGAUUAGGUAGUUGGUGGGGUAAAGGCUCACCAAGCCAACGAUCUGUAGCUGGUCUGAGAGGACGACCAGCCACACUGGGACUGAGACACGGCCCAGACUCCUACGGGAGGCAGCAGUGGGGAAUUUUGGACAAUGGGCGCAAGCCUGAUCCAGCAAUGCCGCGUGCAGGAAGAAGGCCUUCGGGUUGUAAACUGCUUUUGUACGGAACGAAAAGGUUUGGGUUAAUACCCUGGGCCGAUGACGGUACCGUAAGAAUAAGCACCGGCUAACUACGUGCCAGCAGCCGCCGUAACAC
rnacentral:rRNA from 1 species